UGUAUGUUACCAGGCCUCUAUCUCACUAUAUAAAUUCCCCUGAAUCUCUUUCAUUACCAGCUGAGGGUCCAAAUUCAGGUUAUUUAGUAAUCCAAGAUGAAGAAGCCGAGCUUUAUUGUUGCUUCGGAUUGUGCAAGGAACGUGACCUUAUCGAUCUGCCUUUCCCUCAGAACAAGAACUUGACUACUCGAUACACAUCAGGUUCUGGAGAACACAAACAUACUUCUGAUCAUGAUGUUGUCUUCAUUCCGGUUCUUAAUCAGCCCUUGUCCUGCAAUCGGUACUACGCAAUUGAGCCACAUGGAAGCCAUAUAGGGUAUGUGUUAAAAUCAAAAACAUGAACUUGAGAGUAUAGGACUUUCAUUUUAGUAUGGAGAUCUUAUUUCUUGCUUACGUUAAAAUUCUCAUUCUUGGCACCUGAAUUUGAUGGUGUUUUCAGGGAGGCAUACGCUUAUUCAACGGAAGAAGACAUGGCUACAUGCUGCUUCUGCAGAUGCAUUUGAGAUGCGAAGCCAAGACAAUUAGAUCCACAUAACACAUAUCAACAAUUUGAGAUUGCUCUUCAUGAAAC
rnacentral:lncRNA from 1 species